GAUGAACGCUAGCUACAGGCUUAACACAUGCAAGUCGAGGGGCAGCAUUAGGUAGCAAUACUGAGAUGGCGACCGGUCGCACGGGUGCGUAACGCGUAUCCAACCUUCCCGUUACUCUCGGAUAGCCUUCCGAAAGGGAGAUUAAUACGAGAUGGUGUUUGAAUUCCGCAUGUUAUUCAAACUAAAGAUUCAUCGGUAACGGAUGGGGAUGCGUGACAUUAGGUAGAUGGCGGGGUAACGGCCCACCAUGCCUACGAUGUCUAGGGGUUCUGAGAGGAAGGUCCCCCACACUGGAACUGAGACACGGUCCAGACUCCUACGGGAGGCAGCAGUGAGGAAUAUUGGUCAAUGGUCGGAAGACUGAACCAGCCAAGUAGCGUGAAGGAUGAAGGUUCUAUGGAUUGUAAACUUCUUUUAUACGGGAAUAAAACCACCUACGUGUAGGUGCUUGUAUGUACCGUAUGAAUAAGCAUCGGCUAACUCCGUG
rnacentral:rRNA from 1 species